rnacentral:lncRNA from 1 species
GCCUGUCUGACCUGGGUCUCUCCUGCUUUGAUUUUAGUAAAAGUGGACUCUGCCAUUCUCUGCCUUUCCUUUUCUGACUGGUGCUCCCUCUCUUCCAUCUUGGGCUGUCCGCAUGUGUCUCAUUCCCCCACUCUCUCCUGUGCCUCCCCUCUACCGUAAUAAUCAGGUCCAGGUUUCUCUGUACUGGGAGAAGACCUGUGGCUGGAGCAGGCAGGGAUGCACCCUAUCUGUUCCCGAUUCCUCCAGGUGGGAGGGAGAAGGAGUAACCCACUUUAUUGGCCACAGAUGCAGGGGAGAAAGGAGAAAGCAUGCUGGGAGCUGGAAAGAGCCCUAAGAUCACCUGGUUGGUCUGGGCCCUGUGAAUGGAAUUCAGCAUGCCAUGAGGGGUAGAGUUUGAGUCUCCAGCAGCCCCCAUCUGUUCUGAUGAGGCAUGGAUCCCCUGGUUCCCGGCUGGUGAGUCAGGGAGUGAUCCUGCUGCUCCGUCACUUCUGGCUUUUCCUGGUUUGAGGCUGAGCUGUGCCCUCAGCCUAUCCUGUCCUGGGCGGAGUAGGUGAGCACUGGGGCGGAACGGGCGUGGGAACAGCAUGCCUGGACCUGCUGGCCCCAGCCUCCUGCCCCCUGCCCCCAGCCUUUAGUCACUGAAAUGGGAGGGAAGUGUACAGCGGCGUUUUGGCCCAGCUGGGCUUUUACCCCUGUACGGUGUUUACUGAACAGCUGGGAUGUUUACAGUAGCCCUUGCAAAGGGGCCUCUCGUUGCAGGGGAUUUCCCAUCUUGAGGGUCCCACUGGGGCUCUUCUGACCUCACCAAUUCCCUGCACCCCUGGGAUAGAUGUGUCAGGGAUACAGAGACCAUAACCAUUUCCACCUUACCAGAGCCAGUGGUGCCUGUCCCCUUGGCCUCUGGCCUUCGGUUCCUCUGCUCUGGAGGAGCCAACAUUUCCCACCACAUUUCCUAGAGUGGCAGCUCUAGGUGGUGAAAUACGGUAACUGGGUCCCCAGUUCAGACAUUUAAAUUAAAUUCAAUCAGAGCGGUUAUUGAAUAAAAACACGCGGAGUCAUUUACAUGUUAAUUAUGUUGAAUGGACUACUAGACCAUAAUUAGUUGCUAAUUGGGUGAGAGUGGCUGUAAUUGGUUUUGUUGGCACC